GGUGAACGGUGCGCACGGUAUUGGUCUGUGUUAUGUGCUGUUGCUGGACUGUGUUUUGCAGACUUGGCUUCAGCGCUCGCACCAAUCCUGCAGCCACAGAACAACUGGAGAUCAUAGUACUGACCUUUGACGUCUUAAACGGACAUCUCACCAUCGGUCAGCCUCCAAAUGCUCCAACAUAA